AGUGAACGCUGGCGGUAGGCCUAACACAUGCCAGUCGAACGGCAGCACAGUAAGAGCUUGCUCUUACGGGUGGCGAGUGGCGGACGGGUGAGGAAUACAUCGGAAUCUACUUUUUCGUGGGGGAUAACGUAGGGAAACUUACGCUAAUACCGCAUACGACCUACGGGUGAAAGCAGGGGAUCUUCGGACCUUGCGCGAUUGAAUGAGCCGAUGUCGGAUUAGCUAGUUGGCGGGGUGAAGGCCCACCAAGGCGACGAUCCGUAGCUGGUCUGAGAGGAUGAUCAGCCACACUGGAACUGAGACACGGUCCAGACUCCUACGGGAGGCAGCAGUGGGGAAUAUUGGACAAUGGGCGCAAGCCUGAUCCAGCCAUACCGCGUGGGUGAAGAAGGCCUUCGGGUUGUAAAGCCCUUUUGUUGGGAAAGAAAAGCAGCAGGUUAAUACCCCGCUGUUCUGACGGUACCCAAAGAAUAAGCACCGGCUAACUUCGUG
rnacentral:rRNA from 1 species